rnacentral:rRNA from 1 species
UGAGCUCAAGCUUAAAAUCUCCAUGCAAAUUUUGCAUGGCGAAUUGUAGUCUAUAGAGGCGUGAUUAGCGUAAGCACUUGGGGCAAGUUCCUUGGAAGAGGACAGCAUCGAGGGUGAUACUCCCGUUUAUCCCCGAGUUGCUUAUGCGUACAAUCCGUUUUCUUUGAGUCGCGUUGUUUGAGAAUGCAGCGCAAAGUAGGUGGUAAAUUCCAUCUAAAGCUAAAUAUUGGUGCGAGACCGAUAGCAAACAAGUACCGUGAGGGAAAGAUGAAAAGAACUCUGAAAAGAGAGUUAAAGAGUACCUGAAACUGCUGAAAGGUAACCAAAUCGUUUCCAGUGUCUAUAAUCCGUGGUAUAUUUCAUUGGCGGAUGUGUGCAUGCAUGUACUAUGGCAGCGGCUUUUUGCUGCGCCUUGUGCGUGUGUUGCACUUCCUCGCUGAUGCCCUGUACCAUGGUGGGACGUCAAGGUCGGUUCGUAAAUUGCGGGAAAUGACUGCCGAGGAGGUAGGGCGAACGCUUGCGUUUGUCUGUUAUAUCUUGGCGGACGUAGUAGUCGCGGUUGGGACUGAGGUGCCUACAAUGUGCUUAUGAGUGGAAUUGAUUCUUCGUAUGCGCCGUGUGCGGAUAGCUUGCUAUGCGUGUGUGGCUGCGUGUGGAU